CUUUAACCUCACUUAAUCGAAUCAAUACAGUUCCCAUUUAUUACCUAAUUAAAGAUGAUUAUGCUCGGCUUUCUAGAGAAAUUUCUAGUGUAACGGCCUCGACUCUUCCUGCUUUGCUCGACUCUGAUGCUACGGAAGGUGAAUUUUUUCAAAACUCAAAAAAUCAACUCAACAAUUGCGUAGGAUUUGUGGAAUUCUGCAAUGGAUAACAUUAAUGACUGGCUGAGAGCAAAUGGUCUGGAAUUAGCGCCGGAUAAAAGUCAGGCUGUGGUGCAGCGAAGACAUGGAUGGAAGAAAAGAGGACAAGGUCAGAGGGAGGGCGAUACGAUUCCAGAAAGUUAUUGUAUAUUUCGGCAUCUAUUUUGACGGCGCAGGCGGUUUCGUCUCACACAUUGCGCCAGUAGUAACGAAGGCGGAGAGUCAGGCACAAAGUGUCGGGUGGGGAAAAAGAUGGGUUGAGAAAUAAUUUCAUUUCUACGACCAUUAGUUUUUAUUAUACAUCUACUAUUUUUCAUUUGUAAAGAUGAAGGAAGUCUCGGAAAAAGUUCUAGUUUAUUGGAAAAUUAACUUCAAUGAAAAAUUCAAACGGGAAUCAGUUUUUUGAAGGGUUUAGAUUAAAUCAUAUUUUUUGUUUUAAUUUUUCAAUCUACUUUAUAUACUUCCAAAAAUUUUUUUGUUGUGCAACCUCAAUAUGACGGCAAUUUGCAACGUUAAAUUAAAAUU